AUUUUUAAAUAACACGUAUCACUCUUGACUAUUUUUUUUUUAUCAUUAUUAUUAUUCUCUACGGUCACCGCGCUGCUUGCAUGUCGGUUGUUAAUCAAUAUGAUGUGAAAAAAAAUAAAUAAAUCGCACCUUUAUUAAAUAAUUUUUGUUUCGUAAAAUAUAUAAUUUCCCGGGUCCAAUCAAAAAUGCUAACCACGCAAAUACCGUUACAUUCGUGUUUUUUUUUUCCCGUUUACAGUGUUACACGAAUAUAAUAUGAUUGAUAUAUUGUGUUUUACACCCGUAUAUAUACGCACAUUAU